rnacentral:lncRNA from 1 species
AUAGAAUAUUCUCGACUGUUUUUCUGGUGAAACUGUAAAAAACAUAUCGUAAUCGAUUCAUUACAUUCUAAAAAUUUGUCUCGUUAUGUUAUUUAUUUUGCAUAUGAAAAAAUAUAUAAAAUGGAUACAUCUAUAGAUCGAAAUUGAAAUAACUGCUUUUAUAUGUAGUAAGGCUUCGUUUGAGAUUGAAAGAGCGACGAUAGAAAAAUAUCAUGUUUGUUUCCGUACGUAAUAUUGCGUUUUGCAUAUCGCACUGAGUCGAUUACGAUAUAUUUUCUCCGGUCCCAUCAAAGAACGCAGAAGCAUAUCCCUGUAUGCUUUUUCCUCAACUCUAUUUUAUCUAAUAGCGUUAGAUAGAUCUCAAUAUCAAACUAAGUCUAAGUAUGAAUAUGAAUAUGGACAUAGAUAUAAAAUUAUUCCAAUUUUAUUACGGAUCUAAAAC